GGAUAUGAGGACCAUCUGGAUAUAACCAUCUGUUACUGUUAUUCCACUUAUCACCAGGAUUGAUUUGGAUGAUUUGCUUGGUUAAACAGGUAUCCACUUCUUCCAUCAGCACUCAUGUACAUCCUCCCACGGCUGUAUGCUUAAAGACAAUGAUUUUCACAAAUAGGGGAGGACUGGUCUUCAAUUAAGGACAUAGGAAUAGUUGUGCUCCCUUGGAAAGAACAACCAAGUAAGUUAUGAAGAAAUACUGUUCUGCAUUUAAAUGUUAAGUAUCCCCUAGGUGUUCACACUGUACAGG
rnacentral:snRNA from 1 species